rnacentral:rRNA from 1 species
UACGUAGGGGGCAAGCGUUGUCCGGAUUUAUUGGGCGUAAAGAGCGUGUAGGCGGUCAGGUAGGUCCGUUGUGAAAACUCGAGGCUCAACCUCGAGACGCCGGUGGAAACCAUCAGGCUAGAGUCCGGAAGAGGAGAGUGGAAUUCCGUGGUGUAGCGGGUGAAAUGCGCAGAUAUCAGGAAGAACACCCGUGGCUAAGGCGGCUCUCUAGUACGGUACUGACGCUGAGACGCGAAAGCGUGGGGAGCGAACAGG